UACAGAGGGGCAAGCGUUGUUCGGAAUUACUGGGCGUAAAGGGCGCGUAGGCGGCCUUCUAAGUCGAACGUGAAAUCCCCGGGCUCAACCCGGAACUGCGUCCGAUACUGGCAGGCUUGAAUCCGGGAGAGGAUGUGGAAUUCCAGGUGUAGCGGUGAAAUGCGUAGAUAUCUGGAGAACACCGGUGGCGAAGGCGGCGAUCCUGGACCGGUAUUGACGCUGAGG
rnacentral:rRNA from 1 species